AGCUGUAAACUGUAUAGGUCAACCUUUCGAACUGCUACUGAAUCCAUGAGUAGGCAAGAGACUACCCGGCGAAUUGAAACAUCUCAGUAGCCAGAGGAAAAGAAAGCAAAAGCAAUUCCCUUAGUAGCAGCGAGUGAAAUGGGAGCAGCCUAAACAGUAAAAACAGGGUUGUGGGAGAGCAAUACGAGUAUUGUGCUGCUAAGCAAAGCGGUGGAAUGCUGCACCCUAGAUGGUGAGGCUAUUUGGUGAGAGUCCAAUAGCCGAAAGCAUUACUAGCUCAUGCUCUAACCCGAAUAGCAUGGGGCACGUGGAAUCCCGUGUAAAUCAGCAAGAAUCACCUUGUAAGACUAAAUACUC
rnacentral:ncRNA from 1 species